rnacentral:tRNA from 1 species
GGCCACGUAGCUCAGGUGGUAGAGCGUGCGCUGUAUAAAAGGGUUAUCGGCGUCUAUGCGUGGUUUCGAAUCCCACCGAGGCUA